GACGAACGCUGGCGGCGUGCUUAACACAUGCAAGUCGAACGGAAAGGCCCUGCUUUUGUGGGGUGCUCGAGUGGCGAACGGGUGAGUAACACGUGAGUAACCUGCCCUUGACUUUGGGAUAACUUCAGGAAACUGGGGCUAAUACCGGAUAGGAGCUCCUGCUGCAUGGUGGGGGUUGGAAAGUUUCGGCGGUUGGGGAUGGACUCGCGGCUUAUCAGCUUGUUGGUGGGGUAGUGGCUUACCAAGGCUUUGACGGGUAGCCGGCCUGGGAGGGUGACCGGCCACAUUGGGACUGCGGUACGGCCCAGACUCCUACGGGAGGCAGCAGUGGGGAAUAUUGCACAAUGGGCGGGAGCCUGAUGCAGCAGCGCCGCGGGCGGGAUGACGGCCUGCGGGUUGUAAACCGCUUUCGCCUGUGACGAAGCGUGAGUGACGGUAAUGGGUAAAGAAGCACCGGCUAACUACGUG
rnacentral:rRNA from 1 species